rnacentral:lncRNA from 1 species
GUCUCGUUUUCUUUUAUCAUAAAAUUGUGUAGCACACAAGGGAUACAUAAAGUAACGGUUGCAGUUUUAUCGUCUAUAAUUGAUUGAUUGUUGGUUGCUUUAGGCCGCAUUAUUACCGUCUAUAAAACAAUGUCAUUGAUUCCUGUGAGAAUAUAGUUAUGAUAACUGGACUACAAAUAUACUUUUCAUUCGCAAUUUCUAAUUCGUACAAUAAUUAAU